rnacentral:misc_RNA from 1 species
GAUGAAGAACGCAGCGAAAUGCGAUACGUAAUGUGAAUUGCAGAAUUCAGUGAAUCAUCGAGUCUUUGAACGCACAUUGCGCCCCUUGGUAUUCCGAGGGGCAUGCCUGUUCGAGCGUCAUUUUGACCACUCCCGCUUGCGGGGUCUUGGGCCUUCGCCUCUGGGCGGGCCUUAAAAUCAGUGGCGGUGCCGUCCGGCUCUAAGCGUAGUAAAUCUCCUCGCUAUAGGGUUCCGGAGGGAUGCUGGCCAACAACCCCCAACUUUUAAGGUUGACCUCGGAUCAGGUAGGGAUACCCGCUGAACUUAAGCAUAUCAAUAAGCGGAGGA